AUGCCUAAAUUAAAGGAACUUGUUUCUUCAAGCUCUUCAGGCAGUGAUUUGGACAGGGAAGUUCAAAAAAAGUUAAAGAGGAAAAAGCAAGUGGUUCCAGAGAAACCCGUGAAGCAGCAGCAGCCUGGUGAGCCUUCUAGAGCGCUGGCAUCCUCCAAGCAGAGCAGCAGCAGCAGAGAUGACAACAUGCUCCAGAUUGGAAAGACGAGAUACGUCAGUGUUCAAGACGUUAAAGGAAAAAUUCAAUUGAUAUUAGAGAACGUUGGAUGGACUCAGAAGGUGAAAUGAAACAGGGAGAAAAGGUAUUUCUUUAAACAUGGAACAAUGGAGCCAGCUGAAGGAACAGAUCUCUGACACAGAUGAUACAGUAAGAAAGCUGUAA
rnacentral:lncRNA from 1 species